GUGGCUCUGGCAGAGACCAGCUCCAGCCCUGUCUGCUGGGUCCUUCCAGCCUGUCGUGUCCUGUUGUGUCCUGAGCUCCUGCUGGCUGUCAGGCAUGCUUGCUGGUGCUUCCUGGUGCGCGCAGAGCCCCGGGGUUGUCAUCACUGAUUCCUGCAUUGAUCUGUCUGCACCCCCUCUUCAUAAGUUCAAGGGUGGGACCCCCUUCUUACUUGUCUUUGCACCCUCUGGACCUGGCUGUGCUCAGUGAAAUGGAAGGAAAUGGAAAUGAAAUGGAAGGAAAGUUAAGUGCCCAGAGAAGUGGAUGAGACGGGGUCCCCACCCCAAGGUACUGGCAGGCCAGGGACAGGGGCAUCACUGAAACUGUCCUGUUACACUCCAAAGAGUGUUUCAGCGUCAGGUGGAGGGGAGGGCAGGCUUUUUGAGUAAGAGUUCCCCCAGUGGACGUGGGCUUAGGGAGAGCCAGACGAGGAGGACAGCAUGAGCAAAGGUGGGGAGGCUGGGCGAUCUGAGGGUCGAUGGAGAAGGGCAGCAGGGGUUGCAGAGGUGGGCAGAGUCCAGCUUCCAGCCAAGGACCCCUCCUCUCCUCCAGGUACUUUGAGAACAUCCCCAAGGGUCUAGACCAGGAAGGCUGGACUCGAGGUGGCAUCCAGCCCCAGAUGCCAGGAGGCUACGCCCUCAGCCAGCCGGUCAGCUGCAUGGAGGCCACCCCCAACCCCAUGGAGAGCCUGCGGCACCUGCAUCCCCACGUGGGAAGAACCCUGACCUCAGCCGACCCCUUCUACCAGAACACACCUCACAGCAGCCGCUGCGUGGCACACAGCUGAGCCCUGAGCCCUUGGUUUGUCAAUCCUAGGGGACAGGAGCCAGGCUACUGUCUGUACCCCCACUCCAUCCCCCAGGGGAACACCCCUGCCCAGCUACUUUCCUAAUGAAAUAAAGAGCAUUGAAG
rnacentral:lncRNA from 1 species